rnacentral:rRNA from 1 species
AUUGAACGCUAGCGGCAUGCCUAACACAUGCAAGUCGAACGAGUGGCGGACGGGUGAGUAAUGUCUGGGAAACUGCCCGAUGGCGGGGGGUAACUACUGGAAACGGUAGCUAAUACCGCAUACCAUCGGAUGUGCCCAUAUGGGAUUAGCUAGUAGGUGGGGUAAAGGCUCACCUAGGCGACGAUCCCUAGCUGGUCUGAGAGGACGACCAGCCACACUGGAACUGAGACACGGGCCAGACUCCUACGUGAGGCAGCAGUGGGGAAUAUUGCACAAUGGGCGAAAGCCUGAUGCAGCCAUGCCGCGUGUAUGAAGAAGGCCUUCGGGUUGUAAAGUACUUUCAGCGGGGAAGCGUUACUCGCAGAAGAAGCACCGGCUAACUCCGUGCCAGCAGCCGCGGUAAUAC